rnacentral:lncRNA from 10 species
GACGACAGGCAGUGCCCGAACUCUAGGCUGGGAGUUGUGCCAUGCUGCUGCUUUCGUGGGCUGACCAGAAAAGGGUAGAAGGAUUGACGUUUACGAAGUUUUUGAAUCAGGAGGCAAGGUCGCCUUGUGCCCCCAAAAGGAUAGAAAAAGGCCUGGCAAACUGGAGAAUCGCGUCCUUACGGUGCCUACAUAUUUAUAGUACGAAUUAAACUGCUCAAGGGGUGCUAGGUAUCCUGUGUUUUCCAGUUGAAAGCUUGUGAAAAUUCGCUUUAUCCUUGAAGUUCAGAAUUUUCACCAGGAUGUAUGAAGGUAUGUA